rnacentral:rRNA from 1 species
UUUAGAGGAAGUAAAAGUCGUAACAAGGUCUCCGUUGGUGAACCAGCGGAGGGAUCAUUACCGAAGUUACCCUUCAAAAACCCUUUGUGAACGUUACCUCUUGCCGCGUUGCCUCGGCGGGAGGCGGCCGGGAGGGGGGGGGUCCGCCGCGUCCAGCGGAGGUCGCCCCCAGCCCGCCCGUCCCCGCCGGCAGCGCCACAAACUCUAUUUGCACAGCGGACUGUAUGUUCUGAUUUACAAAAAAAAACAAGUUAAAACUUUCAACAACGGAUCUCUUGGUUCUGGCAUCGAUGAAGAACGCAGCGAAAUGCGAUAAGUAAUGUGAAUUGCAGAAUUCAGUGAACCAUCGAAUCUUUGAACGCACAUUGCGCCCGGUAGUAAUCUGCCGGGCAUGCCUGUCCGAGCGUCAUUUCUCCCCUCGAGCGCGGCUUCACGGCCUGUCGCCCGGUGUUGGGGCGCUACGGAGGAGCCCCGCGCUCCGCCCGUAGGCCCCGAAAUGUAGUGGCGGUCCCGCCGCGGCGCCCCCUGCGUAGUAGUCUUACAACUCGCAUCGGGUCCCGGCGGAGGCCAGCCGUCAAACCCCCAACUUCUCAAUAGUUUGACCUCGGAUCAGGUAGGGUUACCCGCUGAACUUAAGCAUAUCAAUAAGCGGAGGAAAUCACUAGUGA